rnacentral:rRNA from 1 species
UGGGGAAUUUUGCGCAAUGGGGGGAACCCUGACGCAGCAACGCCGCGUGGAGGAUGAAGUCUCUUGGGACGUAAACUCCUUUCGAUAGGGAAGAUUAUGACGGUACCUAUAGAAGAAGCCCCGGCUAACUUCGUGCCAGCAGCCGCGGUAAUACGAGGGGGGCAAGCGUUGUUCGGAAUUAUUGGGCGUAAAGGGCGCGUAGGCGGUUUGGCAAGUUUGGUGUGAAAUCUUCGGGCUCAACUCGAAGUCUGCAUCGAAAACUGCCGGGCUUGAGUAUGGGAGAGGUGAGUGGAAUUUCCGGUGUAGCGGUGAAAUGCGUAGAUAUCGGAAGGAACACCUGUGGCGAAAGCGGCUCACUGGACCAUAACUGACGCUGAGGCGCGAAAGCUAGGGGAGCAAACAGGAUUAGAUACCCUGGUAGUCCUAGCCCUAAACGAUGAUUGCUUGAUGUGGCAGGUACCCAAUCCUGCCGUGUCGAAGCUAACGCGAUAAGCAAUCCGCCUGGGGGAGUAC